rnacentral:lncRNA from 1 species
AUGGCUGUCCUUGCCGACUCAGCAGCCAGGAAGCUCCUCCAUGGCGCCUCUGCUCAGGGCGUCGCCGCCGGCAUGAGCCUUGGCCUCGAUGGCCUGUUGCAGCUCGUCGCCGACCUCUUCGCGAGCCUCGUCCACCUGUUCGUCCUCCCGUUCCGGGCCAUGGGGCAUGCCAUCCAGUGGUUCUUCGCCGGCGUCGUCGCUGGUCUCGGGGGCGCCGCGCGCGUGCUCGUCCUGCCGCUCGAGACGCUGUCGCGCUGGCUGCAGGCGGCCGUCGCCGGAAUCGCGAGCGCCGCGCACCUGCUCGUCCUGCCGUUCGAGGCGUGCUGGCGGUGGCUGCGCGACGCGGCCGCCGCGGCGCUCCCAUACGUGCUCGCCAUCGUCGCCGUCGUGUGCGUCGUAGCGCUUCUCUGGCUCUCCUGCACGUUCCUGUGCUCCGCCGACGCGCUAAUCGGGCCGCCGCUCGCCGGCGCCGCCAUCUCCUGCGGGGCGUUCCUGCUCCCCGCCGCCGUGAGGACCGGGCAGGCGCUCGUCUACGCCGUCUGCUACGCCACCAGGGGUGCCGGCGUGGUGCUCGCCUGGGUGCUCCCCCGCUGCGGGCGGUGCUGCGUCGUCCUCGUCACCAUGAAGGCCCCCGGCGCCGCCGGCAUGGUGAUCUCGCGGGGAGCGUUCGAAUCGCUCCCGCGGCUCUACUUCCUUCCUGAUACUGCGCUCCGCUGGCGCCGUCGUGGCCGCCGCCGUGUUCUGCGCGCGGCCCGUCGCGUGGGUGUUCGCUGCGCCGGUCGCCGCCCUCUUCCGCGCGUUGUGAUCAACAAACUUCUCUCUGUGCUUGUUGCCGUGGCAAACUCCUAUGACAUGUUAGCAAUGGUUGUUCAUGGAGUUGAAAAAUGGCUAUGAAACCAGUCAGUUUCACGUCCCAGCAAGUUCAAGAUGUCGGCUGCCACCGGGAGUGAUGCAAAAAGUCAGGUGGCGGGAGAGGGCAACAUUACCACCAGUAACAAAGUCGGUGAACAGGUAAAUGAACCAACCGUGAACAUGGACUCCAUAUAUGACGUAGAACCUUCUACAUAUCCAAACACAAAGAGGGAGCACCAUCAAUACAUGAAAGAACAAAGACUUGUUUGAAUCCUUUUUC